ACAAUGAAAAAUUACCUUUAGAAAUGUUUUGUAUUCAAAAGUGCAGAAAAAAACGUAUUUUGCACUGUUUUUCUACGCCAGAAGUACCGUAGUGACAUCAAUGCGGAGUUUCCCCGUGUGUUAAGUUCAAACACAAAUACCUAACGAACUGACAAGAUGAACGAUCUUAGACUACGUUCUGGGCAGUCCGUUAGAGAAACGUCUUGUUGCCCUUGGUUUGAAGUAAGAGAUCAAUGAUCACAGGAAGUGCAGAUAUGAAGUGAAAACGAGACAACAAUAAAAGUACUGAAAUACUGUUGACUCACCGAUUGAGAUUGAUACGCAAGUAACUUGAAAAGGCCUUUAUUUAUCUAUCUUGAAAUAAAUCUGAACAUAGUGAGGUACAAAUGAGUAUAUACAACGUAAUAAAUCAAACGUACAGUUCUGGACAGUCCGUUAGAAAAAACGUCUUGUUGCCCUUGGUUUGAAGUAAGAGAUCAAUGAUCACAGGAAGCGCAUAUAUGAAGUGAAAACGAGACAACAAUAAAAGUACUGAAAUACUGUUCACUCACCGAUUGAGAUCGAUUCGCAAGGGUAAAAAAUCCAGGCUGAAUGUAUGGUUUGAUUGAUUAUUGAUCAGGGAUACGACACAAUAUCCCCUGUGAACAAAGACAGAGAUCAGUAUGGCCAUUUAUGUAGAAAUUAAGGUUGCACUGUAUAUAUGGACAUACUUUUGAUAACCAUUAACAAGUUUGUCUGAUCAUGAGAUUAGAAAAAUUGAAGACGAGGCACACGUUCUACAUGGUAUUAUUUCUUCUUCUGGGGGUCAAACCUUAUCCAAGACAAUGUCGACCUAACUACAGAAACAAUAAAAGU